GGAAAAGCUCUGUCUGGUUAUUAGAGACCUUCUUCGGAGGGUAUGCUUAAAGAGGGGCUUGCGCCACAUUAGUUAGUUGGUGAGGUAAAGGCUUACCAAGAUUAUGAUGUGUAGCUGGACUGAGAGGUUGAACAGCCACAUUGGGACUGAGACACGGCCCAAACUCCUACGGGAGGCAGAGUAGGGAAUUUUCGGCAAUGGAGGAAACUCUGACCGAGCGACGCCGCGUGAACGAUGAAGUAUUUCGGUAUGUAAAGUUCUUUUAUUGAAGAAGAAAAAAUAGUGGAAAAACUAUCUUGACGUUAUUCAAUGAAUAAGCCCCGGCUAACUAUGUGCCAGCAGCCGCGGUAAGACAUAGGGGGCGAGCGUUAUCCGGAAUUAUUGGGCGUAAAGGGUGCGUAGGCGGUUAGAUAAGUCUAUAAUUUAAUUUCAGUGCUUAACGCUGUCUUGUUAUGGAAACUGUCUUGACUAGAGUGAGAUAGAGGCAAGCGGAAUUCCAUGUGUAGCGGUAAAAUGUGUAAAUAUAUGGAGGAACACCAGAAGCGUAGGCGGCUUGCUGGGUCUUUACUGACGCUGAGGCACGAAAGCGUGGGGAGCAAACAGGAUUAGAUACCCUGGUAGUCCACGCUGUAAACGAUGAGUACUAAGUGUCGGGGAAACUCGGUACUGAAGUUAACACAUUAAGUACUCCGCCUGAGUAGUACGUACGCAAGUAUGAAACUUAAAGGAAUUGACGGGACUCCGCACAAGCGGUGGAUCAUGUUGUUUAAUUCGAAGAUACACGAAAAACCUUACCAGGUCUUGACAUACUCUGCAAAGCUAUAGAAAUAUAGUGGAGUUAUCAGGAUACAGUGGUGCAUGGUUGUCGUCAGUUCGUGUCGUGAGAUGUUAGUUAAGUCCUAAAACGAACGCACCCCUGUCGUAGUUGCAGCACGUAAUGGUGGGGACUUAGCGAGACUGCAUAACAUUGAGAAGUGGGGAUACGUCAAUCAUCAUGCCCUAUGAUCUGGCUACACGUGAUACAUUGCUAUACAAAGAGGUAGCUGAACGCAGUUUAGCAUCUCAAAAGUAGUCUCAGUACGGAUUGAAGUCUGCAAUCGACUUCUGAACUGGAUCCCUAGUAAUCCGAAUCCAGUUCCGUAAUCGUUCCGUUGCUACGCCGGCAA
rnacentral:rRNA from 1 species